CAGCCGCCGCGGUAAUACGAAGGGUGCAAGCGUUAAUCGGAAUUACUGGGCGUAAAGCGUGCGUAGGCGGUUUGUUAAGUCUGCUGUGAAAUCCCCGGGCUCAACCUGGGAAUGGCAGUGGAUACUGGCAAGCUAGAGUGUGUCAGAGGAUGGUGGAAUUCCCGGUGUAGCGGUGAAAUGCGUAGAGAUCGGGAGGAACAUCAGUGGCGGAGGCGGCCAUCUGGGACAACACUGACGCUGAGGCACGAAAGCGUGGGGAGCAAACAGGAUUAGAUACCCGAGUAGUCCCUGUCUCUUAUAC
rnacentral:rRNA from 1 species